CCCCUAGAUGUUCUGGGCCGCACGCGCGCUACACUGAACAGUUCAACAAGUCUUAACCUUGGCCGAUAGGUCUGGGUAAUCUUUGAACGCUGUUCGUGAUUGGGAUAGACCUUUGCAAUUAUGGGUCUUCAACGAGGAAUUCCUAGUAAACGCAAGUCAUCAGCUUGCAUUGAUUACGUCCCUGCCCUUUGUACACACCGCCCGUCGCACCUACCGAUUGAAUGGUCCGGUGAAAUCUCGGGACGGCGGCUUGGUCGCUUGCGUCCGACUGCUGAAACUUGAUUAAACCAUAUCAUUUAGAGGACGGUGAAGUCGUAACA
rnacentral:rRNA from 1 species